GACAGAGGGUGCGAACGUUGUUCGGAAUUACUGGGCGUAAAGCGCGUGUAGGCGGCAGCGCAAGUCGGGCGUGAAACCCCACGGCUCAACCGUGGAAGUGCACUCGAAACUGCGCAGCUAGAGUCCUGGAGAGGAAGGUGGAAUGCUUGGUGUAGAGGUGAAAUUCGUAGAUAUCAAGCGGAACACCGGUGGCGAAGGCGGCCUUCUGGACAGUGACUGACGCUGAGACGCGAAAGCGUGGGGAGCAAACAGG
rnacentral:rRNA from 1 species